rnacentral:lncRNA from 1 species
UUCUUGUGCACUGCUUUGAUGACACCCACAGCAAUUGUGCAUCUCACAUCAUGAACAGCAAAACAACUCGGAGGAGAAUAGUCAGAGAUGCUCUCAGCACACUUGAGCUUGCUAAGAACCACAUCAAUGAUGGCAGCAUCAGCUGAGUCCAAGAAUUUGGGGCCAUCUUCCAGCUUCUUCCCAGAACAGCAAUCAGUCUCCUUUUCCAGCUCAGCAAACCUGAGAUCGUGCCACUGCACUCAGCCUGGGAGACAGAGCGAGAUUCCGUCUCCAAAAGAAAAAGGCGUUUGUUGUACAUUUUUUUAUAGGAUCCACUCAAUCCAUGUAAAUAUAAAAAUAUCUGGAAGGGCUCUUCGCUUUGGACUCAUGGCAACAGGAUUCAUUUGAAACAACUAACCUGACACCAUUGAAUGAAUGAGUAAACAUGUAAGUAUAAUGCUAUACAAUCGUCUCAGUCUGCUCAGGCUGCCAUUACAGAAUACUGUGAACUGGGUGGUUUAAAUAAUAGAAAUUUAUUUUUUCACAGUUCUGGAGGCUGGGAAGGCCAAGAUCAAGGUGCCAGCUGAUUCAUUUCCUGAUGAGGGCUCUUUUCUGGGCUUGCAGAUGGCCCCUUUCUCACUGUGUCCUCACAUGUUAGAAAGUGAAAGAGAGCAAGCUCUCUGGUGUUGCUUCUUAUAAGGGUACCAAUCCCAUCAUUAGAGCCACACCCUCAUAAACCCAUCUAACCCUAAUUACCUCUCAGAGGCCCCAUCUGGAAAUACCAUCACAUCAGGGGUUGAGGCUUCAACUUAUGAAUUGAGAGAGGGGAGCCUAAGUGAUCAGUCUAUAAAAACAACUAACUGCAAAGAUGUACAGAGGGUUGCUCCGGAAGGAGCUGGCAAAGCUCUUAGCUCUAAUGAAGAGCAUUGAUGUAUUUCUGGUCCAGUGGGGAUUCUUUUCUUCCCUCAUUCUCUGCUGUGUGUCUGAGCCUUUUUCAUCCUCUACCAACUGUCCUGAACCUGGAGAAUUCCUUUAUCAAGUUUCUUAUCCCUUAUAACAAAAAGUUUUUAAUCUUCCUUCUACCUACUCUCAGAUAUCACUUUAAACUCAAAUGUUAAUCACACUUUGGCUAAGUGGGUUUACUUAUUCCAGAAACUUUGCAAAAUCCAAACCACCUGUUUUCUUGUUUUUCGCUGAAUAUCAAAGUUCACUUAAUUAUAAUCCAUGGUCACAACUCACUCUUUUUCUUUUUUUUUUUUUUAAGAUGGAGUCUCACUCUGUGGCCCAGGCUGGAGUGCAGUGUCAUGAUCUUGGCUCACUGCAACCUCUGCCUCCUGGGUUCAAGCAAUUCUCCUGCCUCAGCCUCCUGAGUAGCUAGGAUUAUGGGUGUGUGCCACCACACCCGGCUAAUUUUUGUAUUUUUAGAAGAGAUGGAGGUCUCACCAUGUUGUCCAGGCUGGUCUCGAACUCCUGGGCUCAAGUGAUCUGCUCGCCUAAGCCUGGAAUUACAGGUGUGAGCCACUGCACCUGGCCAACUCACUCUUAUUAUUGACUCAUGAAUCUUCCCCUCUCUCUCUCUUCUCAUGCUUGUAUUAUUAUUACACAGUAAGCAUCCAUGAAUCUAUCUUUCAUUAUAAACACUAGGACUUUGGCAAUACCUUACCUUUACUUAGGUUCUCUUUCCUCUUUUUUCUUGCCUUCCUGGAGUACCACAAUCCAAAGACCAGCAUUCAUCAGUCUGUUGUUUUCUUUCUAUGCAGUUUCUUUACUCAACUAUAUGAAUUUCUAAAAAAUAUACUUUUCCAUUUUAUGAAAAGGAUAAUAUGCUGUGUGUAAAUAUGCU